rnacentral:sRNA from 1 species
ACCUGUUUUGCGUGGGUUAAGGACAAAUCGCCAGUCGAUAAAAUUAACGCGACUUUUGUCACUUUUUAACAAAGAACCUCUGGACAAAAUGCGCCACAAUUGUUGUACUGAUACCCGACACAGCAUUUGUGUCCAUUUUUCAUGCAAAGGUAAUUUUGAUGUCUAAGAUUAAAGGUAACGUUAAGUGGUUUAAUGAGUCCAAAGGAUUCGGUUUCAUUACUCCGGAAGAUGGCAGCAAAGAUGUGUUCGUUCACUUCUCUGCAAUCCAGACUAAUGGUUUCAAAACCCUGGCUGAAGGCCAGCGCGUUGAGUUCGAAAUCACUAACGGUGCCAAAGGUCCUUCUGCUGCUAACGUAACUGCUCUGUAAUUCAGACAGGUCAGCAAGAACUUCAAAACCCGCUCAAUGAGCGGGUUUUUUU